AGCGCAAUGGAACCUAUGAUUGAGAUGUCCUUCUUUAUCCAUGAACUUGACAGGUCCUACAGUUGCCUUGCAGGCAGAUGAGCGAUAUAAAAAAAGGGUGACUGUAUGAACAAGGGCCAGCCCUGUUUGAACAGUCCCCUUGAACAGUCAGUGAGAAGAAUGCUGUGGUCAUGUCAAGGAACAUUCACAAUUCCGAUUCCAUCUAUAAACUGAUGUCUACCUAUUUCUUUGCACGCGUUCUGGGAGCCUCACAUCGAUCUCUCAUCCUCUGGGUCUUCCUGACAGCCUUCUUCCUAUGACUGGCUGUAAAAGUGUUGCUGCUGUCACAAAGCCUCUUUGAACUUGAAAGUAAAGCGGGCUAUUAAAUAGCUGGCUCAGACACAGAAGGGAAC